rnacentral:rRNA from 1 species
UACGUAGGGCGCAAGCGUUAUCCGGAAUUAUUGGGCGUAAAGAGCUCGUAGGCGGUUUGUCGCGUCUGCUGUGAAAGACCGGGGCUCAACUCCGGUUCUGCAGUGGGUACGGGCAGACUAGAGUGCAGUAGGGGAGACUGGAAUUCCUGGUGUAGCGGUGGAAUGCGCAGAUAUCAGGAGGAACACCGAUGGCGAAGGCAGUUCUCUGGGCCGUAACUGACGCUGAGGAGCGAAAGCGUGGGGAGCGAACAGG